CGAUUUUCGAAUAAGCCUAGUGUGGGUAACGCUUAGCAGACGACGAUCCAGUAGCGAUCGAGAAGGAAUGAUCCGCCACACUGGACUGAGAACACGGUCCAGACUCCUACGGAGGCAGCAGUGGGGAAUUUGGACAAUGGGCGCAAGCUGAUCCAGCCAUGCCGCGUGUCUGAAGAAGGCUUCGGGUUGUAAAGGACUUUGUCAGGAAGAAAAGGCUGUUGCUAAUACCGACAGCUGAUGACGGUACCUGAAGAAUAAGCACCGGCUAACUACGUGCCAGCAGCCGCGGUAAUACGUAGGGUGCGAGCGUUAAUCGGAAUUACUGGGCGUAAAGCGAGCGCAGACGGUUACUUAAGCAGGAUGUGAAAUCCCCGGGCUCAACCUGGGAACUGCGUUCUGAACUGGGUGACUAGAGUGUGUCAGAGGGAGGUAGAAUUCCACGUGUAGCAGUGAAAUGCGUAGAGAUGUGGAGGAAUACCGAUGGCGAAGGCAGCCUCCUGGGAUAACACUGACGUUCAUGCUCGAAAGCGUGGGUAGCAAACAGGAUUAGAUACCCUGGUAGUCCACGCCCUAAACGAUGUCAAUUAGCUGUUGGGCAACUUGAUUGCUUAGUAGCGUAGCUAACGCGUGAAAUUGACCGCCUGGGGAGUACGGUCGCAAGAUUAAAACUCAAAGGAAUUGACGGGGACCCGCACAAGCGGUGGAUGAUGUGGAUUAAUUCGAUGCAACGCGAAGAACCUUACCUGGUCUUGACAUGUACGGAAUCCUCCAGAGACGGAGGAGUGCCUUCGGGAACCGUAACACAGGUGCUGCAUGGCUGUCGUCAGCUCGUGUCGUGAGAUGUUGGGUUAAGUCCCGCAACGAGCGCAACCCUUGUCAUUAGUUGCCAUCAUUUAGUUGGGCACUCUAAUGAGACUGCCGGUGACAAGCCGGAGGAAGGUGGGGAUGACGUCAAGUCCUCAUGGCCCUUAUGACCAGGGCUUCACACGUCAUACAAUGGUCGGUACAGAGGGUAGCCAAGCCGCGAGGUGGAGCCAAUCUCACAAAACCGAUCGUAGUCCGGAUUGCACUCUGCAACUCGAGUGCAUGAAGUCGGAAUCGCUAGUAAUCGCAGGUCAGCAUACUGCGGUGAAUACGUUCCCGGGUCUUGUACACACCGCCCGUCACACCAUGGGAGUGGGGGAUACCAGAAGUAGGUAGGGUAACCGCAAGGAGCCCGCUACCACGGUAGCUUCUG
rnacentral:rRNA from 1 species